ACAAGGUGAAUUCGAAGUCAUGUUCAUAUGUAUUAUAUGAAUUGAUUACAUCCAAUUAUUGUUUCGUAAAACAUGAAAGCAAUUUACUUAUCAGCUUUAUAGAUAACUUAUUCUUGUAUGUUUAUUAAGGAUGCAUACUUAGUUUGCAUGUAGGGAUUUGAUGCUAGAAUAUAAGAGAAUUUCACCUAAUUGUUAUGAACUUAUAUUUAUAAGUAGUAAAAGUCACUAGUCAUGAUUGAGUUAAGUAAAUCCAUGGCAGGAGUAUCAUGCUUUUCAUAGUUACGAAUGCCUUGUCAAUGCUUAUGAUUUUCACAGAACUUAAUGACCUUUGAUAUGUGUCUCUAUCAUGCUUUUCAUAGUUAGGGAACUUGAGAAGGAUAAUUUGGUUGGGUCGCUGAGUCCAAUUCAAUGAACUUAGGAAAAUUUUGAAAGUUAAUUAGUGUUGUUCACAAUUAAUUUGGGGCAUUGCCAUUCAUGGUUUAUAGAAAGAAUAACUGGAAAUCAAUUUAUGUGCAUAUGUUUCAUGUGUGAAGAAGAAUCCUCUAGCUAGCUUUUUACCCACAUUCCCCUUACAACUCAAUUUGAUUGCUGCUAUCUAAUUUUUUUUCUUCAAAUUCGUCAAAAAGAUCCCCCUCAGUUCUUAUUUUGUGUUAGUCUAGCUUAAUUUUCAGUUUUUAAGUUUAAUUUGUGUUGAUUAGCAUCCCUCCUAAUCCCCCGCUUAGAACGAUCCCUACUUGUUCAUACUACAAUUAUCUAAAUUAUCGGGUUUAAUUUGUGUGUUAGUUUAUAUUACAUCACUCAUUUUUGGAGGUGGUGCAAAGAUAUUUCACUCUAUUUUCUUCAGUGGUUUCAUUUAUGAUCAUUGUCAACUCAAAUAUCCUUAAGAAAACUCAACGACGGGGAGAAUUUAAGGUUCCUUAAAUGGUAAUUCAGUACCAUUCAUACAACGAGGAGCUCGCCAAUGCUCUUAAUCAGGUUGGAUAGACCUAAAGUCGUUGUUAGAGAUGUGAUUUAGGUGUAAAGUUAGUGUGUGUAGUAUCGCAUUCAUCCAAACAACUAACUUCCCCACAUUCCUACCUAAUCACGUGUUUAAUUGAAUUUGGUCACAUGUAUACAAGAAACAUGAUUAAAUUAACUCAUAUUCGAGGACAAUAUCAAUAAAAUUAUCCAUAAGUAAAACAGUUGGAAAUAUGCCCUGAAAGUCAAUCUUUGGAAGAAACCUUUCAGGACAAAUGAAUGGAUGUAUAGAUGAUUCUUAUACAUCAAAUGGCAAAGAUACUAAUU
rnacentral:lncRNA from 1 species